UUUGCUUGCGCAACAACUUCCAUCCCGCAUUCCUCUUCAGUUGUCUGGUAAGGCUUGUGUCGUCUUAUCGGGUUGUGGGUUUCCUGUGUUGCCUACCUAAGUUACGGUAUUCUCUUGAUCCAUCACUGACCCUUUUCAUCUUUUAUCAUUCUCAUGAUACAAGACGAACCUCGAAGCGGUCUCUUUGUACCAUAGUGUCAAUCCAUGCGUUGAUGUUGUGGCCCAGUGAGCAUUGCUUGGUUUCAUGGACACAGAACAUGAUGUGGGCAUGGGGUCUUCGGAUCCCUAUUUUGUCCUCCAAUAGCGUUGUGCUAAUCGUUCAAUGACCUUACUUAUCUGUAGCCCUAUAUGGGAGCGGGUUUGUGUCUGUUAUUGUGCGAGGAACGCAACGUGCAUUCCUCUAAGCGACCACCUUCUCCCGCCCGGCUAGUACCAACGGGGCUGGUUGUCAAUUAUGAAUGCUACCUGGUUGAUCCU
rnacentral:misc_RNA from 1 species